AACCUGGUUGAUCCUGCCAGUAGUCAUAUGCUUGUCUCAAAGACUAAGCCAUGCAUGUCUAAGUAUAAGUAUUAUACAGCGAAACUGCGAAUGGCUCAUUAAAACAGUUAUAAUUUAUUUGAUAAUCGAAUUUACAUGGAUAACCGUGGUAAUACUAGAGCUAAUACAUGCUGGUAGGCCCGACUUUUUGGAAGGGCGGUAUUUAUUAGAUAACAAACCAAUAUUCCUCUGGUCUAUUGUGGUGAAUCAUAAUAACUGAUCGAAUCGCAAGGUUUUUAACCGCGAUAAGUCAUUCAAGUUUCUGCCCCAUCAGCUUUCGAUGGUAGUGUAUUGGACUACCAUGGCUUUUACGGGUAACGGAGGAUUAGGGUUCGAUUCCGGAGAGGGAGCCUGAGAAACGGCUACCACAUCUAAGGAAGGCAGCAGGCGCGUAAAUUACCCAAUCCUGACUCAGGGAGGUAGUGACAAGAAAUAACGGACCGAGGCCUUCGGGCUUCGGGAUUGCAAUGAGCCGAAUUUACACCCCUUAGCGAAGAUCGAUUGGA
rnacentral:rRNA from 1 species